CACGGGGGUUGCGAGCGUUGUCCGGAAUUACUAGGCGUAAAGGGCAGGCAGGCGGAUCCAUAAGUUUUUCGUUCAAGGCGUCAGCUUAACUGGCGUACGGCGGGAGAUACUGUGGAUCUGGAAUGCGGUUGGGGAAGACAGAAUUCCUGGUGUAGCGGUGGAAUGCGCAGAGAUCAGGAGGAAUACCGAAGGCGAAGGCAGUCUUCCAAGCCGUCAUUGACGCUCAACUGCGAAGGUAUGGGUAUCAAACAGG
rnacentral:rRNA from 1 species